rnacentral:rRNA from 1 species
GUGUCGCUGAUGGAUGGACCCGCGGUGCAUUAGCUAGUUGGUGAGGUAACGGCUCACCAAGGCGACGAUGCAUAGCCGACCUGAGAGGGUGAUCGGCCACAUUGGGACUGAGACACGGCCCAAACUCCUACGGGAGGCAGCAGUAGGGAAUCUUCGGCAAUGGACGAAAGUCUGACCGAGCAACGCCGCGUGAGUGAAGAAGGUUUUCGGAUCGUAAAACUCUGUUGUUAGAGAAGAACAAGGAUGAGAGUAACUGUUCAUCCCUUGACGGUAUCUAACCAGAAAGCCACGGCUAACUACGUGCCAGCAGCCGCGGUAAUACGUAGGUGGCAAGCGUUGUCCGGAUUUAUUGGGCGUAAAGCGAGCGCAGGCGGUUUCUUAAGUCUGAUGUGAAAGCCCCCGGCUCAACCGGGGAGGGUCAUUGGAAACUGGGAGACUUGAGUGCAGAAGAGGAGAGUGGAAUUCCAUGUGUAGCGGUGAAAUGCGUAGAUAUAUGGAGGAACACCAGUGGCGAAGGCGGCUCUCUGGUCUGUAACUGACGCUGAGGCUCGAAAGCGUGGGGAGCAAACAGGAUUAGAUACCCUGGUAGUCCACGCCGU